CAUGGCUCAGGACGAACGCUGGCGGCGUGCCUAAUACAUGCAAGUCGAGCGGAGAUUUGGGAGCUUGCUCCCAAAUCUUAGCGGCGGACGGGUGAGUAACACGUGGGCAACCUGCCCUGCAGACUGGGAUAACUCCGGGAAACCGGAGCUAAUACCGGGUAAUACAUCGCACCGCAUGGUGCAAUGUUGAAAGUUGGCUUUCGAGCUAACACUGCAGGAUGGGCCCGCGGCGCAUUAGCUAGUUGGUAAGGUAAUGGCUUACCAAGGCGACGAUGCGUAGCCGACCUGAGAGGGUGAUCGGCCACACUGGGACUGAGACACGGCCCAGACUCCUACGGGAGGCAGCAGUAGGGAAUCUUCCGCAAUGGACGAAAGUCUGACGGAGCAACGCCGCGUGAGUGACGAAGGCCUUCGGGUCGUAAAGCUCUGUUGUUAGGGAAGAACAAGUACCGUUCGAAUAGGGCGGUACCUUGACGGUACCUAACCAGAAAGCCACGGCUAACUACGUGCCAGCAGCCGCGGUAAUACGUAGGUGGCAAGCGUUGUCCGGAAUUAUUGGGCGUAAAGCGCGCGCAGGCGGUCUUUUAAGUCUGAUGUGAAAGCCCACGGCUCAACCGUGGAGGGUCAUUGGAAACUGGAGGACUUGAGUGCAGAAGAGGAGAGUGGAAUUCCACGUGUAGCGGUGAAAUGCGUAGAUAUGUGGAGGAACACCAGUGGCGAAGGCGGCUCUCUGGUCUGUAACUGACGCUGA
rnacentral:rRNA from 2 species